rnacentral:rRNA from 1 species
UACAGAGGGUGCGAGCGUUAUCCGGAAUCACUGGGCGUAAAGGGCGCGUAGGCGGCCUGAUAAGUCGGGGGUGAAAUCUUGCGGCUCAACCGCAAGGCUGCCUUCUAAACUGUCAGGCUGGAGCACGGUAGAGGCAGAUGGAAUUCCCGGUGUAGCGGUGGAAUGCGUAGAGAUCGGGAAGAACACCAGUGGCGAAGGCGGUCUGCUGGGCCGUUGCUGACGCUGAGGCGCGACAGCGUGGGGAGCAAACAGG